GCACCUCGCUCCUUCCCUUCAGUCAUUACACACAUGACCUGAGGAAAGUUUGUGUCUCUGCAUCUUCUUUCAUUCAACUACUCCCCUUUUCAGUCACAUGACAGAGAGGAGACUCUUGGGCAAACUCUCACCUCCGAUGCUCUGCGGCCUCUCUUCUGACACGGCUUUCCUGAGGGUCAGGUGUCUGCCGUCUGCUCUGCUCCCUUUGGCCGACACAACCGAUGGCAGGGCAGGCAGCCAAUCGGACUGGGCUCUCUGAAUGACCUGUAUCUCUCCAGAGAUGGGGUGGGACGGAGUCUUCGUUACCUCUGCAGUCUGUUAAAGAUAAAAGCAACAUGAGAUACUGCUAGCAAAAAUCUAGGGUGAUCCUGGCUGACCGGGGCUGGAGGUCGCUGAGGUGGUGGCGGGCAAGCCGGAGGAAGAGGUGGAGGUGGGAGCCUGCUGCUGGGACACUUUUUGGAGCUCAGCCGCCAGCUGCUUAGGGUCAACACCUGGUGACCUGGGAGCUCCACCAGGUAGGACUUUGGCAACAUAGGCUCCAAUGUCUCCAUUACAGCCAGGGACCUCUUUCCCUCCAACCACACGUAUGCCCAGACCAUUUCCUGUUCAGGACCAAAAACAAAGAUUGGUUUGUCAAACCAAUCCGUCUCUUCUCGUCUAAGAUGGUAGGCUUCAGGGAUAAAAACAAGCACCACUUCAGAAUCUGAGAACCUGAACUUUUUUUUCAUCCUACUGUAUAGAAUGGAUUUUGCCAGUUCAUCUAAAGAUGAUUACAUGAAAUUAAGAAAAACUGAGAUGAAAAUAUGAGGAAUUGAAGGGUCAUUAUCAUAUGAAAAGGGGAAAGAAUACCAAGCAACACAACAUCCUUUACAUGUAUUAUAAAAUAAGCAGGACAGAAUGCAGUUUGAGAGUGAAUAAACAGUAUUAGUACAGUAUGUAUAGUAGCAUAAUCUAAACCUAACCUAUAGUGCAGUGAUUUUAUAUGAAUGUAAAUGUUGGGUAUGUACAUAUUUCAUAUUGUUCUCUAACUCCAGGAAAGUGAAUGUGUUUUUCUUCUAAAAUAUACAGUACAGUAUGUUUGUCUUGACAUUUUUGCAAUGUAAAAUCAUGGAAAUUUAAAGUGGCAUUUAAUUGCCAUUUUA